rnacentral:lncRNA from 1 species
UUAGAAUAUUUGCAAAAGUCUUCACAGAUUUUGGCCAAUGUAGAGCGCAAUAGUAUCUAUAUUACAACACUUGGGAAGGAAAAUAAGAAAAGUCUCAGAUCACGUGUAAUGUAAAUGUAUGCAAUGUAAACAUGUGAUCUGAGGUUUACUUUUUUACUUUCUAAGGGCUGUAUACUAUUUUUUUGUCCGACGAAGGCGGAAAGCGGCAACGUUGCUUAGCGCAGUGGGACGAAAGUUGCCAGUUUCCGCCCGGAGCGGAAAAAAUAAAAAUAAUCAUAAACGAUGCUCACGAACAGCGUCUAAAAGAAUACAGAAACAUCUGGCACCGUCUAUUCGGUAUCUGGCACGUCAACAGCCACACCAGACGUGCAGGCGGCGGAGGCGGCAAGCGUACUGCAACUAAUAUUAACAGAUUUCUGUCUCCUAGCACUUAUGCGCCGGCCUUAAAGCCUCUUUGGGAUAUUUACAACUUGUGUUUAGAGAUAUCGUACACGCUGGUCCACACGAAUAGUUCUAGCACCAAAAGAGGGAGCGGAACAGAUGUGAGCGGAUUCAAAUCCGUGGCGAACCUUUCGUCUUGAAAGAGCUUGAGUCGGCGAUAGAACGCAGUAUGCAAGGGCAGGUUUCAUCCCAGCUCUCGGAUGCGCAGCAUAGGUUCAGACCGGCGCGCGGCACAACCAGCAACUGCACACUGCCACACGUUGACGCGGUAGUGCAGUUGGUGCCGCUUACUUUGACUUUAAAUAAGCUUUCAACUUUUUUGACAACAUCUUACUUGAGUUCAACUAGACAACGAACUAAAACUUAGAGUGUAUCUUGUUAAUGUUUGUAAAAAGCUAGUAAGAGUUUGGGCGUCUUACUUCACCAUAAAACUGCUUUACAAACGUAAAGGCUUUAGCAACAUUGUAUGACGCCCUAAUAAGAAGUCAACUAGAAUUUAUCUUGGCAGUAUAGGCUCCUCGUGAGUCGAAAUAUCUAUCCAAUACCAUGUUGGAACAGACACAGAACAAGUUCACUCGUCACUUGUACAUACAAUUACACGACACCUAUGCUUUCUAUCCAUUGAUAUGAUUGUAUGGUUGGGUAUGACAAGCUGAUGAAACAAGGCGCUGGGCGUACUGAAAACGUUCCUUGGCAUUGUUAACGCCCCAAUUAUACCUCCUAAAGACCAAUACUCACUUACUAACUAAUACCUCAGUUUGUUCGUCGGUUAACAAACGGCUUUUGUAAGCACUGGCCCUUUAAAUUUAGCAUUUCGCCGAUAGAUGGCUCUAUUUUAAUUUUUUGUACAUAGACAAUAUCAAUGUUUAUUUCUCCGUGAUGACCAAGACGUAAAACUGACUACAUUAUAUUAUUUGAAUAUAAUCUUACUCAUAUAUAAUAUAUAUUUUGUAGAACAUAACUUUAUAUUAUGAUCUGUACGUUCGUCCGUUGUAGAGUUUGUAUAGUGAAUCUGUGGCAGCCGGCGCGGCGGCGUCGCGGCGUCGGUCGAUACGAGCGGUGCGCAGUGCGCGCACAGUGUGCACCGCGUCCGGCCCGGACACACGGGCAGCCGCGCGCGGUCCGGCCCCUGAGCGUUGUUCUGAGCCUCAUUCGGUGGACAUGACUCCGGUUGCUACGUCUUGACAAUAAAUGAAACUUCCACACCGAAAGAUUCAACACAAAACUACAACGGAUACAUGAAUAAUAAAUGAAAUUUCUCAUUUUCAAUCGAGAGUCUCCGCGGGGUCCUGAGAGACUCAGGAGACACACGGGAUCGAUCGAUCUAACAGUAACCCAUCAGCAGUCGUGACGUCACACUCUGACGUCAUACGCUGGCGCCGGACUGAACGAGCAGACACCAGCGCAUGUUCUGGUCGCGUCGUCGCUGCGUUCAGACAGACUUAUCGAAGCGAGAGCCAGGCUUCCAGGGACCCUAUAAACACAACGACACAUUUCAACUGCUGAUAGCUCCAUGCUACUGACAUGCACAGUUCAAACCCUGAUGCAGUGAUUCGUGCGAAGUCCGUCUUCCCGGCCGCUGUCCUCGCCGGAGCGGCAAGAGCGCCGUUGGUGGCUGCUGGUUGGUGGCACCGCCGGCACCGCGUGUGUCGUGUGCACCAUGUGCACGCGACGCACUGACGCUCAGCAUUGGGAAGCCGAAGAUAUCACGCAGUACUCGUGAGGAUCAAAUGGAAAUGGCUCUGUGGACAGGGCACAGCCGGGUCACUACUCUGGAGGCUCGGCCUUGGAGUGCUUCAUCAUUCAAACCACCUUUUCUUUUUUAUUUACUUAAUAAAUAAUAAAAAAUA